GAAAUGGAUGGGUUGGAUGAGAAGAACUUUAAGGGCCUAGGUCAGGCUUUGGGUGUUCCUGGUCCUGCGGGAGGGACACAAUGAGUCACCAAGAAAAAUCUGUUUAAAUUUGUUCGAGCGCUGACCCACUUGGCUGGCUCUGUGAGGCAAUGGCAGGUGUGAGCCGGCAACUGUGGUUGGUGAAAUUUGUUCAUCUGUCAAAUUUGUUCAUUCAUUUGUUAAUCUGUCAACAGACUUUCACUGGACAUUUGAUGUGCGUUCUUCAGGACUGGUCACAUAAUUGCAGGGCCCGAGGCAAAAAUGAAAAUAUGGGGCCCCUUGUUCAAAAAUGAAGAAUUUCAAGGCAGCCACAGCAGAACGUGAAACCGAAUACGGAGCCUUUCUAAAUGAGACAGCACAGACCACAUGCCCUGAAGCUGGUCCUGCUUAGGGUGAAGAACCCUGUCUGGGGGACAAAGCCAUCAUCCAAGCUGCACCUGGACAAGUUUCCUCAAGAAGUGGAGAAAGUUGGCCAUGGAGAGGUGAAGCAAAAACGGCCACGGUCUGAGAAAAACGGAGGUGAGGGUUGGGGAGUGUGUGUGUGUGUGGUGGGUGUGUAUUUGUGCAUGGUAUGCACCUGAAUGUUUUUGUGUACACAUGCACAUGCCUGUGUGAUGUAUCUGUACAACUGUUGUAUAUAUAUAUUUUUGUCUUUUUAAGGCUGCAUUGCAGGUAUUUGGACGUUCCCAAGUGAGGGGUCAAAU
rnacentral:lncRNA from 1 species